GCGCUCAUUUCAGCAGCACAUAUAGUAACAGAAGAACAAUACAGAGAAGAUUAGCAUGGUGUCUGCUCAAGGGUAACACAAAAAUUCCUGAAGUAGUGCAUAUUUUC